GAUGAAGAACGUAGCGAAAUGCGAUAAGUAAUGUGAAUUGCAGAAUUCAGUGAAUCAUUGAAUCUUUGAACGCACAUUGCGCCCCCUGGUAUUCCGGGGGGCAUGCCUGUUCGAGCGUCAUUACAACCCUCAAGCUCUGCUUGGUAUUGGGCCCCGCCAGUUCUGGCGGGCCCUAAAGUCAGUGGCGGUGCCUUCCGGCUCCGAGCGUAGUAAUUCUUCUCGCUCUGGAGACCCGGUUGUGUGCUUGCCAACAACCCCCAAUUUUUUAAGGUUGACCUCGGAUCAGGUAGGGAUACCCGCUGAACUUAAGCAUAUCAAUAAGCGGAGGA
rnacentral:misc_RNA from 1 species